UACGAAGGGGGCUAGCGUUGUUCGGAAUUACUGGGCGUAAAGCGCGCGUAGGCGGUGAUCUUUGUCAGAGGUGAAAGCCUGGGGCUCAACUCCAGAAUUGCCUUUGAAACGGGAUUGCUUGAGUCCGAGAGAGGAUGGCGGAAUUCCUAGUGUAGAGGUGAAAUUCGUAGAUAUUAGGAAGAACACCGGUGGCGAAGGCGGCCAUCUGGCUCGGUACUGACGCUCAGGCGCGAAAGCGUGGGGAGCAAACAGG
rnacentral:rRNA from 1 species